rnacentral:rRNA from 1 species
AAGAGACAGCAGCCGCCGCGGUAAAACAGAGGGUGCGAGCGUUAAUCGGAUUUACUGGGCGUAAAGCGUGCGUAGGCGGCUAAUUGAGUCGGAUGUGAAAUCCCCGAGCUUAACUUGGGAAUUGCAUUCGAUACUGGUUAGCUAGAGUGUGGGAGAGGAUGGUAGAAUUCCAGGUGUAGCGGUGAAAUGCGUAGAGAUCUGGAGGAAUACCGAUGGCGAAGGCAGCCAUCUGGCCUAACACUGACGCUGAGGUACGAAAGCGUGGGGAGCAAACAGGAUUAGAUACCCGCGUAGUCCCUGUCUCUUAUAC